GAUGAACGCUGGCGGCGUGCCUAAUACAUGCAAGUCGAGCGAACAGACGAGGAGCUUGCUACUCUGACGUUAGCGGCGGACGGGUGAGUAACACGUGGAUAACCUACCUAUAAGACUGGGAUAACUUCGGGAAACCGGAGCUAAUACCGGAUAAUAUAUUGAACCGCAUGGUUCAAUAGUGAAAGACGGUUUUGCUGUCACUUAUAGAUGGAUCCGCGCCGCAUUAGCUAGUUGGUAAGGUAACGGCUUACCAAGGCAACGAUGCGUAGCCGACCUGAGAGGGUGAUCGGCCACACUGGAACUGAGACACGGUCCAGACUCCUACGGGAGGCAGCAGUAGGGAAUCUUCCGCAAUGGGCGAAAGCCUGACGGAGCAACGCCGCGUGAGUGAUGAAGGUCUUCGGAUCGUAAAACUCUGUUAUUAGGGAAGAACAAAUGUGUAAGUAACUAUGCACGUCUUGACGGUACCUAAUCAGAAAGCCACGGCUAACUACGUG
rnacentral:rRNA from 1 species